UCUGAACUGAAUGAAAUAGCUGGGAUU
rnacentral:piRNA from 1 species